CUUGCUUAUUUACACAAGGCCAUUGAACCAAAGGUGACACAUCGAAACAUUAAGCAGACGCUCCUUCUUGGCCACUAACCACUUUGUAAAGGAAUGGAAAUUUUCUGGUGGUUUACUUUGAUGAUAUCCUAAUUUUCCAAUCUCCCUUAUGCCUAGGACAUUGUCUGGGCCAAGAGCCAUAGUUGAUCAGAAAGAGUUGAUACUAACAUUGGUUUGCCAAAUCAAGUUUGAAUUCAAGAUUGAGUCCUGAAAAAAUUGAACUCAAGGAUGCAGCUGUUAGAAAGCUAAAAAAGGAAACUGAUUGUAUCCAAAAGGUAAUUGGAUGCAAGUGUUUUAAUUUUCAGUUGCAACAGGAUUAGUAUCAAUGCUUUGAAUUGUGAUUUUGCAGGGAGCAAGACGAUAGUGUGUCAGUGAGUUUGUGCUUAAAGGAAUGAGUUUUUUUGUUGUUUGAAUACACUAAGAUCUAAUCGAUGGCCAAUUUGUUGAUUCUGCAUCAGAUUGAUCAGUCUUUCCAAAUUCACCGUAGUUAUGGAAGCAUGCUCGAGGGUGAGGCUGAUGAACUCAAGUGCGGUUUUGGAAUGGGCGGUGGGAGACCCAUCAAGAGCAGAUUAGAGGUAUAGACCGUGCUAGAGAUGUGUCUCUCAAUUUAUAUUAGAUCUGUUGUAAUGUCAAGAAAGCGUGCAGGGUUUGUUAAUUGAAUUGUAUAAGAUUAAGGAUUCAUUUCAAACAAUUCCUAUUGUUAUUAAGAGUGAGUGAAUUAAAAUGUUAUUUAUCUA